rnacentral:rRNA from 1 species
CUCGCUGUGAAGAUGCAGUGUACCCGCGGCAAGACGGAAAGACCCCGUGAACCUUUACUAUAGCUUGACACUGAACAUUGAGCCUUGAUGUGUAGGAUAGGUGGGAGGCUUGGAAGUGUGGACGCCAGUCUGCAUGGAGCCGACCUUGAAAUACCACCCCUUUAAUGUUUGAUGUUCUAACGUUGACCCGUAAUCCGGGUUGCGGACAGUGUCUGGUGGGUAGUUUGACUGUUAAGUCAGAUGUGAAAUCCCCGGGCUCAACCUGGGAACUGCAUCUGAUACUGGCAAGCUUGAGUCUCGUAGAGGGGGGUAGAAUUCCAGGUGUAGCGGUGAAAUGCGUAGAGAUCUGGAGGAAUACCGGUGGCGAAGGCGGCCCCCUGGACGAAGACUGACGCUCAGGUGCGAAAGCGUGGGGAGCAAACAGGAUUAGAUACCCUGGUAGUCCACGCCGUAAACGAUGUCGACUUGGAGGUUGUGCCCUUGAGGCGUGGCUUCCGGAGCUAACGCGUUAAGUCGACCGCCUGGGGAGUACGGCCGCAAGGUUAAAACUCAAAUGAAUUGACGGGGGCCCGCACAAGCGGUGGAGCAUGUGGUUUAAUUCGAUGCAACGCGAAGAACCUUACCUGGUCUUGACAUCCACGGAAGUUUUCAGAGAUGAGAAUGUGCCUUCGGGAACCGUGAGACAGGUGCUGCAUGGCUGUCGUCAGCUCGUGUUGUGAAAUGUUGGGUUAAGUCCCGCAACGAGCGCAACCCUUAUCCUUUGUUGCCAGCGGUCCGGCCGGGAACUCAAAGGAGACUGCCAGUGAUAAACUGGAGGAAGGUGGGGAUGACGUCAAGUCAUCAUGGCCCUUACGACCAGGGCUACACACGUGCUACAAUGGCGCAUACAAAGAGAAGCGACCUCGCGAGAGCAAGCGGACCUCAUAAAGUGCGUCGUAGUCCGGAUUGGAGUCUGCAACUCGACUCCAUGAAGUCGGAAUCGCUAGUAAUCGUGGAUCAGAAUGCCACGGUGAAUACGUUCCCGGGCCUUGUACACACCGCCCGUCACACCAUGGGAGUGGGUUGCAAAAGAAGUAGGUAGCUUAACCUUCGGGAGGGCGCUUACCACUUUGUGAUUCAUGACUGGGGUGAAGUCGUAACAAGGUAACCGUAGGGGAACCUGCGGUUG